GAACUUUGCUCCAUAAUCUCUAAAGGAAGAUUCCCAUCUCACCUUUUGUUACUAUGGAGAUGUGAUGUGGAAAAUUCACACCUUUUGUUACUAUGGAGAUAUGAUAUGGAAAAUUCAUAACAAAAAAUAAUGAAUUUCUAUUCUACCCUUACUAGCACAUUGUUCAUGAGAAUGUUACUUGCCCAAGUUACUAAUAUAUCUAACCUUCAAUUUUCCCCUGUACAAAAAAUGGAAGAAGAUAAUCUAAUUUACAAAGUUAGCAUAUAGACUGAUGUACAUAAAGUACCUAGCACCGUGCCUAGUAUGUAGUAAAAUUGAUUGUGUAAAUAUAAAUAGUAGACUCUAGGGGGUCUCUUUAACCCUGGGUUUCUAUUGACAUAAUUUUCCUACUAACACAGAUCUGAAAAUAGUAAUAGUGACCCCACAAUAAUAUUUCAUCAUAAUUUCUGCAACCCCUCCCUUAGAGUUAUUUUUUUGUUUGUUUGUUUUAAUGAACCAAAUAAGGAGAAAAGAUUCUUUGUUGUUUUCCCUCUCUUUAAGGUGUAUGUGAACUCUCACAUAAUCUCAUUCAAUAUUACCAAUUGUUGUCAAACUCAGAAGAUAAUGGGUGAAAUUUCAAGUUAUAAUAAUAUAACAGAUUAUAGGGAAUAAGGACAGGCUUUGGACAUAUUUCAAAUAUCUUGGCUUCUUGAGAAAGCAGAUACUAAAUCUGUCACUAGACUCAGAAUCAAGUAGUCAGCCUUUGGCCCUAUUCCAGUAUAUAAUGGAACAAAUUCCAGACCUCUCCAAGAGUAAUUCUUUUUGCAGUCCAGAGACAUAAGGCUGCUAUAGUUAGAUGUUAAUAAAAGAUCUAAAUGCAGUGGAGCAAAAGACAGGAGGAGAAAGUCUUGGUGAGUAAGCCAAAUGGGCCAGCUAUCUGUCGUCUGGCAGCUGUCAGGAAGAAAGAGCAAAGAAUAGAAUUAUAAAGCAUGGCUACAUUUGCAGAUUAAAGAAAAUAACUCAUUUUCAGAUAAUUUUAAGAAAAUCAGAGUUAUAUACAGCUAUAAAGUUAAAGUUAUAGAGAUUAAGUAUAUAUUAUGUAAAAACGAAAAAAUAGAAUUCAAGAAUUUGGUGAAAAUUCUCUCAAUCCAAAAUUGUUCUUCUGUAAUGAAAUUAUAACUUCCAUCAUUUAUUAUUUCCAUUAAAAUGGAAGUCUGGUCUGAUUAGCUCAACAUAGAAUUUAAAAUUUAAAUCUUUAAAUUGAAUCCUGAUAUUACAUGGUUAUUCAGGCCAGGUGUAUGUUAAAGUAGACAGUAGCAUGUAGAUAAUAAUAAACAUCAUUUCUUGAACUAAUUCCUCCAGGGUAAUUUUAUUGGUGACCACAUGAUUGAGGUAAUGGUUGGUUCUGGUCAAUUAAAUUAAGUAAAUGCAAUUCUUUUCUAAUUUGAACAAUUUCAUUCAGAAUUAAAGUUAAAAAUAUUUUUCUAUAUUAAGCUACUCCAUCAGGAAAUUAUGAAAAAUUAUCAACUGAAGUUGAAAAAUAAAUGUCAAUGAGAAAUCCCCAACUAUAUGUGCAGUAAUUUAGGAUAUGUUUAUUCAUUCCAUUCUCAUAAUCAGUUAUGUAGAAAUUCAUAUCUACCAAAGCACAGUUUUAAAGUAAAGAUCUGGGAAGUUUCUUGGCAUCAAACUAAUGGUUACAGAAUAAUAUCAAUGUCACUUCCACAAUGCUUAAAUAUUCGUAGGUGACUAAAAUUGAUAUGUACCAAUUCCAACAAGGUAGAUCAUUGUAGAAGUGACUCACACCUAGGACUCUAUACCAAAUAUUAAACCUAAAUCUCAACAAAAAGGAGUAAAACAAGAAUUUGACUAUGCAAAGUAUGAAGAAUAUGAAGAAAUUUGAUGUCAAAAAGGCAAACGAAAUUUCAUAAAUGGAAAACACAAACAUUUGUGCAAAAACACAAAUUGAAUUUAUAUUAAAUCUAGAUUUAAUAUACAUUAGUAAACAUUAAACAUAUAAACAAUAAAGAUGGGUAGCAAAGAAUAUUUUCUAUAGGAAUGACAUUAUGGAAAAUGACAGAGUAGGACAUUCAAAUAAAUGGCCCCUCCCCUGAAAGAAAGAUAUACUCACAAAGAUUCACUAAUUCAAUUUUUCUUUGGAAAUGUGGGAACUAAUCCAAAACUUUCAUCGACCAGAGGACUACUUACUAAAGAAAAGCAAUUUCUAUGGUAUAUCCACUCACAUACUAUCUCCUAUUCUCCAGUAGCCAGUGUCCCCAGUGUAGGUGGCUGGUUCAGAGGGCUAAUACUGAUCUUGUUCUUAAAAUACUGUGGUUGUGCUUUUUCAAUAUGAAUUUUAGUGUAUAUUUGACUUACAAAUUUGUUUUAGUUUCAGGUGAACAACAAAGUAAAUCAGAUUCUUUUCCCAUAGAGGUUGUUACACAGUAUUGAAUACAUUAUCCUAUGCUAUACGAGACUUUUCCAAACUAAAGGGGGAAAAACCCUGGAGGGCCGCCUCUGGCUCCUCAGACAGCCCUGACCAAAUAACCUAUUUCAACUGGGAACAUUGUAGGUUGUUUCUCUAAAAAACUUUUUUAGAUGGAAUGGGGGGUAUCUUGUUUAUUUUCAUUUAAUUGGUCUAUUUAUAACAUUUCAUUAUUUUUAAUAAACACUUUAAAUGCCAAGAUCAUGAAAAUGAAGGAAAAAUGGAGAAAUUCUUCCAAAUUGAAGGCUACUAAAGAGACAUGACAAAUACUAUACUGUAUCAUCUUGGACUGGAAUCUUUCUAUAAAUGCCAUUGUUGGAAUAACUGGUUAUUUCUAAAUGGAAUCUGGAUUAGAUGAUUUUAAGUGUAUUGAUGUUAAUAUCCUGAUUUUGAUUGUGACUCUAUGGCUGUGGUCUUUUAAAUGCAUGCUAGUUUUCAAAGACAAUGGGAAUAAUGCAGUAGUUAGAGAAUGUUAUAAAGUGCUAAGAAUAGUGAAAUUAAGGUAGUAAAGGUUGUUAUUUGUGUUUAAUCUUCCCAUACCACUUUAAUGCAUGUAUUCCUGGGUUCCAUCGAUUUAAAUCUGCUGAUCCCUGUAAACAUGCUUGCCUUUGCAAUUCUGUUCACUUUCUUGGUUGUAACUUCUACUUUGUUUUUAAUGAAUUGCAAAUCCAUACAUUCACUCCAGGACUUGUUCUUAGCGUCCCACU
rnacentral:lncRNA from 1 species